GACGAACGCUGGCGGCGCGCUUAACACAUGCAAGUCGAGCGAUGAAAUUUCGACAGAUCCCUUCGGGGUGAAGAUGAAAUGGAUUAGCGGCGGACGGGUGAGUAACACGUUAGUAACCUGCCUGUGACAUUGGGAUAGCCUCGGGAAACUGGGAUUAAUACCAAAUGACACUAACUGAUCACAUGAUCAAUUAGUCAAAGAAAUUCGGUCAAAGAUGGACUCGCGGCUGAUUAGCUAGUUGGUGAGGUAACGACACACAAAGGCGGCAACCAGUAGCCGGGCUGGGAGGGUGGUCGGUCACAUUGGCACUGAGACACGGUCCAGACUCCUACGCGAGGCAGCAGUGGGUAAUAGUGCACAAUGGGGGAAAUCCUGAUGCGGUGCCGCCGCGUGAGCGAAGAAGUCAUUCGGGUCGUAAAGCGCUUUUAAGAGGGCAGAUAUUGACGGUACCUCAUGAGAAAGCCCCGGCUAACUACGUG
rnacentral:rRNA from 1 species